rnacentral:rRNA from 1 species
UGAACGCUCAGGUGCGAAAGCGUGGGGAGCAAACAGGAUUAGAUACCCUGGUAGUCCACGCUGUAAACGAUGUCGAUUUAGAGGUUGUGGUCUUGAACCGUGGCUUCUGGAGCUAACGCGUUAAAUCGACCGCCUGGGGAGUACGGCCGCAAGGUUAAAACUCAAAUGAAUUGACGGGGGCCCGCACAAGCGGUGGAGCAUGUGGUUUAAUUCGAUGCAACGCGAAGAACCUUACCUACUCUUGACAUCCAGCGAAUCCUUUAGAGAUAGAGGAGUGCCUUCGGGAACGCUGAGACAGGUGCUGCAUGGCUGUCGUCAGCUCGUGUUGUGAAAUGUUGGGUUAAGUCCCGCAACGAGCGCAACCCUUAUCCUUUGUUGCCAGCGCGUCAUGGCGGGAACUCAAAGGAGACUGCCGGUGAUAAACCGGAGGAUGGUGGGGAUGACGUCACGUCAUCAUGGCCCUUACGAGUGGGGCUACACACGUGCUACAAUGGCCAAUACAAUGGGAU